GACGAACGCUGGCGGCGUGCUUAACACAUGCAAGUCGAACGGAAAGGCCCUGCUUUUGUGGGGUGCUCGAGUGGCGAACGGGUGAGUAACACGUGAGUAACCUGCCCUUGACUUUGGGAUAACUUCAGGAAACUGGGGCUAAUACCGGAUAGGAGCUCCUGCUGCAUGGUGGGGGUUGGAAAGUUUCGGCGGUUGGGGAUGGACUCGCGGCUUAUCAGCUUGUUGGUGGGGUAGUGGCUUACCAAGGCUUUGACGGGUAGCCGGCCUGAGAGGGUGACCGGCCACAUUGGGACUGAGAGACGGCCCAGACUCCUACGGGAGGCAGCAGUGGGGAAUAUUGCACAAUGGGCGGAAGCCUGAUGCAGCAACGCCGCGUGCGGGAUGAAGGCCUUCGGGUUGUAAACCGAUUUCGCCUGUGACGAAGCGUGAGUGACGGUAAUGGGUAAAGAAGCACCGGCUAACUACGUG
rnacentral:rRNA from 1 species